UACGUAGGCGCCAAGCGUUAUCCGGAUUUACUGGGCGUAAAGCGUCCGCAGGUGGAUUAAUAAGUCUGACAUCAAAGCCCUCGGCUUAACCGGGGAUAGGUGGCGGAUACUGUUAGUCUAGAGGCCGGUAGAGGUUAUUGGAACUUAUCGAGUAGGGGUAAUAUCCGUUGAUACGAUAAGGAACACCAAAGGCGAAGGCAAAUAACUGGGCCGGCCCUGACACUCAUGGACGAAAGCGUGGGGAGCGAACGGG
rnacentral:rRNA from 1 species